CAGUAGCCACGGGAACACGGAGGGUGCAAGCGUUAAUCGGAAUUACUGGGCGUAAAGCGCACGCAGGCGGUCUGACAAGUCAGAUGUGAAAUCCCCGGGCUUAACCUGGGAACUGCAUUUGAAACUGUCAGGCUGGAGUCUUGUAGAGGGGGGUGGAAUUCCAGGUGUAGCGGUGAAAUGCGUAGAGAUCUGGAGGAAUACCGGUGGCGAAGGCGGCCCCCUGGACAAAGACUGACGCUCAGGUGCGAAAGCGUGGGGAGCAAACAGGAUUAGAUACCCCGGUAGUCCCUGUCUCUUAUAA
rnacentral:rRNA from 1 species